GUAGGAGCAGCAGGGCUGAUACAGGACGCACCAUACUACUCAAAGCUCACCUCUGUGGCACAUUAUUGGGUGAACCUUUCAUGACUGUGAGCAUUUAUUUAUUUUUUGCUCUUUGGUACAUUUGGAUAUAAGCAUCAGCUUAUGUCAUUGAUUUAUAUUUAAUCUCUGUGUUGCAUCUUUAUUGUACUGCUAUGAUUCAUUUAAAAGCAAACAGCCUUGAGCUUGCCUGGCUGGCUUUUAUGAUGGAGUGGGGAGGUGGAUAAUGAGGAAAGCAAAACACUUUGAGGCAGUUUUUUGGUUUCUGUCUGGAAGGGAAUGUGGCUGGCAGGAGCGGGGGACUGGGAAUUAUCCUCUCUCCUAUUCAGCGUUAGGCCUGUUUUAGUGAGCAGAGCUGGAUUCAUGAUCCAUUUGCUUCUUCCCAGCCAGGAGCUAGUUGGUCCAUUAUGUCCCAUGUCUCUUUCCAUUAGCUGCACCCACUAUGAUGUCAAUUGAGAAAAAUAGGAGCUGCGUAUUAGAAAAUCCUUAAAGUGGUUUGACAAUGGUUGCACUACGGAGCCUUUUAGUGGGUUUUGAUGUAUCCCUUGCCAUUAUAUUUGCCUACAACUUGCAGGCAAGGGAAGAAAGAAAUCAAGGGGAAUCCUAACGAAGGCUAUUUUCUUUUAAGUGUGCAUCCUUGAACGGUAUGGCAGCGCUAAUAGGAAGAAAUAAUUCUCUGUGUACGUCUCUCUUUCAGAACUCUAGAAUUUGGAAACCAUCCAAUGAAGUUUGGCAGUAAGUUCAGGACAAAUAAAAGAAUACCUAGCAUGUAGAUGAUGUUUUAUACACCAACCCACUGUGAAGCACACAUUUUUUGAGCAGAUCAGUAAGAAGAACAGAAGAAAAAGCCCCUUAUCAACAAACAAACAACAAAGGAGACAGGAAUGC